GCGGGCGUCGCCCAGCCUGGCUAAAGGCGGCGGACUCAAGAUCCGCUCCCUCAGGGGUUCGUGGGUUCAAAUCCCACCGCCCGCACCA
rnacentral:tRNA from 1 species